rnacentral:tRNA from 1 species
GUGAGUGUGAUGUAGUGGUUUGAAUGUUGGACUAUGGUUUUGGAGACCAGGGUUCAAUUCCCUGCUUGGCCA